UACGGGGGGAGCAAGCGUUGUUCGGAUUUACUGGGCGUAAAGGGCGCGUAGGCGGCGCAACAAGUCACUUGUGAAAUCUCCGGGCUUAACUCGGAACGGUCAAGUGAUACUGUUGUGCUAGAGUGCGGAAGGGGCAACUGGAAUUCUCGGUGUAGCGGUGAAAUGCGUAGAUAUCGAGAGGAACACCUGCGGCGAAGGCGGGUUGCUGGGCCGACACUGACGCUGAUGCGCGAAAGCCAGGGGAGCGAACGGGG
rnacentral:rRNA from 1 species